rnacentral:RNase_P_RNA from 2 species
AGAGUAGGCGAGAUGGUUGCGAGCUGCUUGCAGUUCGAGGAAAGUCCGGGCUUCCGAAAGACCAAACUUGCUGGGUAACGCCCAGUGCGAGCGAUCGUGAGGAUAGUGCCACAGAAAUAUACCGCCGAUGGAACAGGGGCUAGGGGCUAGAGGCUAAGGCUUUCUAACCUCACGCUAUUCUUUUCACAGGUAAGGGUGCAAGGGUGCGGUAAGAGCGCACCAGCAGCAUUGAGAAGUGCUGGCUAGGUAAACCCCGGUUGGAUGCAAGGCAGUAGGAGCGAAGGUUGGUCUUUUCCCCGCUCCGGCAGGGAUGCAAUGCGUCUUUGCGAGUCCGCUAGAGGCGUUUGGCAACAGCCGCCUUAGACAGAUAACCGUCCCCUUUUUAAGGUGAACAGAACCCGGCUUAUGUCCUGCUCUUUCC